rnacentral:lncRNA from 1 species
AAAUCUUGAAAAAAACAUAUAGAGAAGAAAGAGUUAGGAAGAAAAUUUUAGAAAAGUAUAGGUUCUGGAGGGUUUUCGGAAGAAUAAAUUUUGAGCAAGAGAUUGAGUCUGAAAUAGAGGUAAGGGGAGCUAAUCUUUUAAAGUUUUUAUGUUAUAAAAUAUUUUUUUUAUAACUAUUUAUGUCUUGAAAUUUUGUGCAAUUACUGUUAAUGAAAAACCUAUGUACUUGUUAUAUAACUAUUUGAAUUUCUGCGUUAAUAUUAUAUGCUGUUAUUUUGAAUCUGUAAAUAAGAAAAUUGUUAAUAACAAGUUGAGGAACACUUUGGCUAAGGAAAGACCUGGUACUUAAGUUGUCCAUUGUGACACACCUUUCUUUCUUGGAAGUCUACUCGAUGUGUUUUUAGCUAAUUCUUAUCAAACAGAUUAUAUUUUGCUGAUUUUAUUUUUGUAAAAUGCUCAAUAUAUAUGAAAUUUGUGUUGAAUGUAUUAUAUUAUGUUGGAUGUGAAAUUUAUGUAUUUAAACAUAAUAAGAGUUUGGUGGAGAGUGGGAAAUCCUUACCGAAGAUCCAUCUUGAGAAGAUUGACACAGUAGGAAGGAUGUAGCUUCAGUGGUUGUAUUUAUAUCCGAAGAUCCAGUUUAAGGGACAGAGUAGGAUAAGAUAAUUGAGCUAGCAAGUAGGUGCAUCCAUAUCCGAAGAUCCACUUUGGGGGACAGAGUAGGAUAAGAUAAUUGAGCUAGCAAGUAGGUGCAUCCAUAUCCGAAGAUCCACUUUGGGGGACAGAGUAGGAUAUGAUGUAUCUGAGUAAAGUACCACUGCAAGCGUAGAACCUGUUUAGAGUUCAAUAUUCAUACGAUUAUUUGAAUGGGUUGAGUUUAUAAUGAUCAUGGUGUGUUUAUUGUACUAUUAAGUGAUUUGACUUAUCAGUUAUAAAUUAUGUUAUUAAUUUAAAUAUAUCAUGUUAUUUUGUUGCAAUAGCUCACCCUUGCUUUAUCUAUUGUUUGGUGGUUACUUUUGUGUUGUGUGUUUUCUCUCGGCGAUGAUCAUCUGGUGGGUGUGAGCAGAAAGUGGUGAGACGCCGGUGGAACAGGCAUUAGAUGGAGAAUCGACUAGUGUUUAACUCUUAUGGAUGAAAUCCUUGUUUUAAUCGUUUAAGUUUGGUUUGUAUUAAGUUUAAAAAUUUGAGUGAUGGUUUGUAUAUUGAGGAAAACUUUUAUUCCUCAUUUCUAUGACUGUUCUAUCAUAUAAAGAAUGUAAUAACUAUAUUAUAGUUUAAUACUACAAUUUUUG